UCUAGUGUGGUGGUGUUCACUGAUAGCUCUUAAUUAUUAUUUGGCUGUUCUAUGUGUAGACAUGUCUGAGUCAACCAUUUAGGCUACAAAUUGAAAACCUCUAACCCAGACAGUUUCGUCUGAAAUAUAAACAUGAUUAUAUUUUUUUCCCCCAGGAACAUCCUUUUUGAACUAAAAAAAAAAAAAAAAAAAAGAAACCCAACAUGGGUUGUAAGUUCUUCUCUCAUGAAGCCAUCUACAGAAUGGCCAAUUAUUCUCUGUCGUUGAUCUGGAAGAGCGAAUGCUGAUGACAGUGAGGAUUUGAGGAAAGGAGAGCUACAUAAUAAACUUAACAUAAGGGGGCCUGAUACAGAGAGGGUCCACCAUCCCUCAGCAACAACAACCUCUUAGGUGAGCAAGAAAUACACUGUUACUAUGUUUUAGUACUAUA